AGAGUUUGGAUCAUGGCUCAGAUUGAACGCUGGCGGCAGGCCUAACACAUGCAAGUCGAGCGGAUGAAGGGAGCUUGCUCCUGGAUUCAGCGGCGGACGGGUGAGUAAUGCCUAGGAAUCUGCCUGGUAGUGGGGGAUAACGUCCGGAAACGGGCGCUAAUACCGCAUACGUCCUGAGGGAGAAAGUGGGGGAUCUUCGGACCUCACGCUAUCAGAUGAGCCUAGGUCGGAUUAGCUAGUUGGUGGGGUAAAGGCCUACCAAGGCGACGAUCCGUAACUGGUCUGAGAGGAUGAUCAGUCACACUGGAACUGAGACACGGUCCAGACUCCUACGGGAGGCAGCAGUGGGGAAUAUUGGACAAUGGGCGAAAGCCUGAUCCAGCCAUGCCGCGUGUGUGAAGAAGGUCUUCGGAUUGUAAAGCACUUUAAGUUGGGAGGAAGGGCAGUAAGUUAAUACCUUGCUGUUUUGACGUUACCAACAGAAUAAGCACCGGCUAACUUCGUGCCAGCAGCCGCGGUAAUACGAAGGGUGCAAGCGUUAAUCGGAAUUACUGGGCGUAAAGCGCGCGUAGGUGGUUCAGCAAGUUGGAUGUGAAAUCCCCGGGCUCAACCUGGGAACUGCAUCCAAAACUACUGAGCUAGAGUACGGUAGAGGGUGGUGGAAUUUCCUGUGUAGCGGUGAAAUGCGUAGAUAUAGGAAGGAACACCAGUGGCGAAGGCGACCACCUGGACUGAUACUGACACUGAGGUGCGAAAGCGUGGGGAGCAAACAGGAUUAGAUACCCUGGUAGUCCACGCCGUAAACGAUGUCGACUAGCCGUUGGGAUCCUUGAGAUCUUAGUGGCGCAGCUAACGCGAUAAGUCGACCGCUGGAUGUCC
rnacentral:rRNA from 1 species